GCAGGGAAUCUUGCGCAAUGGGCGAAAGCCUGACGCAGCGACACCGCGUGGGGGAAGAAGGCUCUUGGGUUGUAAACCCCUUUUCUCGGGGAAGAGUAAGGACGGUACCCGAGGAAUAAGGUUCGGCUAACUACGUGCCAGCAGCCGCGGUAACACGUAGGAACCGAGCGUUGUCCGGAAUUACUGGGCGUAAAGGGCGAGUAGGUGGCUCGUUAAGUCUUGUGUGAAAUCUCCCGGCUCAACUGGGAGGGGUCAUGAGAUACUGGCAGGCUUGAGGGCAGUAGAGGAAAGUGGAAUUCCCGGAGGAGUGGUGGAAUGCGUAGAUACCGGGAGGAACACCAGUGGCGAAAGCGACUUUCUGGGCUGUUCCUGACACUGAGGCGCGAAAGCAUGGGGAGCAAACCGG
rnacentral:rRNA from 1 species